GUGUUUGCUUCAGCAGCACAUACACCAAGAUUGAAACAAUACAGAGAAGAUUAGCACAGGCCCUGCACAAAGAUAACAUGCAAAUCUGUGAAAUGGUCUAUACUAUU
ensembl:snRNA U6 U6 spliceosomal RNA